GACGAACGCUGGCGGCGUGCUUAACACAUGCAAGUCGAACGAGUGGCGAACGGGUGAGUAACACGUGAGUAAACUGCCCCUUCUUCUGGAUAACUGCUUGAAAGGGUAGCUAAUACGGGAUAGUGGGGGAUGGGCUCGCGGCCUAUCAGCUGGUUGGUGGGGUGAUGGCCUACCAGGGCGGUGACGGGUAGCCGGCCUGGGAGGGUGGGCGGCCACACUGGGACUGAGACACGGCCCGCACUCCUACGGGAGGCAGCAGUGGGUAAUAGUGCACAAUGGGCGCAAGCCGGAUGCAGCGACGCCGCGUGAGGGAGGUAGGCCUGCGGGUGGUAAACCUCUUUCGCCAGUGAAGCGGUAGCUGGAUAAGAAGCGCCGGCUAACUACGUGCCAGCAGCCGCGGUAAUUC
rnacentral:rRNA from 1 species